ACCUACGGGAGGCAGCAGUAGGGAAUCUUCCACAAUGGACGAAAGUCUGAUGGAGCAACGCCGCGUGAGUGAAGAAGGGUUUCGGCUCGUAAAGCUCUGUUGGUAGUGAAGAAAGAUAGAGGUAGUAACUGGCCUUUAUUUGACGGUAAUUACUUAGAAAGUCACGGCUAACUACGUGCCAGCAGCCGCGGUAAUACGUAGGUGACAAGCGUUGUCCGGGUUUAAUGGGUGUAAAGGGCGCGUAGGCGGGGUAGCAAGUCAGU
rnacentral:rRNA from 1 species